UACUUUUGUGGGUUAACGCUAUAAAGGACAAAGCAGGACAAAUGUCAAGAAAACAAAAAUUGACUCCUCGGGUGAUUCAAGGUAGAAGAGAAAGGUGAAUAAAGAAAAACAUCAAGGUGGAUCUAAUGAAGAAGCUUCCUCAUCAUCUGGUUCAAUCCAUCUUGGGAUGUUUACCGGUAAAUGUUAUCGCUAAACCUGCCAAUGUGUGUAAGAAAUUAUAUGAAUCCUUGAAGACAUCUUUCAGCUUUAAUAUGGACGAG
rnacentral:lncRNA from 1 species